rnacentral:rRNA from 1 species
GAUGAACGCUGGCGGCGUGCCUAAUACAUGCAAGUCGAGUGAACGGACGAGAAGCUUGCUUCUCUGAUGUUAGCGGCGGACGGGUGAGUAACAUGUGGAUAACCUACCUAUAAGACUGGGAUAACUUCGGGAAACCGGAGCUAAUACCGGAUAAUAUUUUGAACCGCAUGGUUCAAAAGUGAAAGACGGUCUUGCUGUCACUUAUAGAUGGAUCCGCGCUGCAUUAGCUAGUUGGUAAGGUAACGGCUUACCAAGGCAACGAUGCAUAGCCGACCUGAGAGGGUGAUCGGCCACACUGGAACUGAGACACGGUCCAGACUCCUACGGGAGGCAGCAGUAGGGAAUCUUCCGCAAUGGGCGAAAGCCUGACGGAGCAACGCCGCGUGAGUGAUGAAGGUCUUCGGAUCGUAAAACUCUGUUAUUAGGGAAGAACAUAUGUGUAAGUAACUGUGCACAUCUUGACGGUACCUAAUCAGAAAGCCACGGCUAACUACGUG